GAUGAACGCUGGCGGCGUGCCUAAUACAUGCCAGUCGAGCGAACAGACGAGGAGCUUGCUCCUCUGACGUUAGCGGCGGACGGGUGAGUAACACGUGGAUAACCUACCUAUAAGACUGGGAUAACUUCGGGAAACCGGAGCUAAUACCGGAUAAUAUAUUGAACCGCAUGGUUCAAUAGUGAAAGACGGUUUUGCUGUCACUUAUAGAUGGAUCCGCGCCGCAUUAGCUAGUUGGUAAGGUAACGGCUUACCAAGGCAACGAUGCGUAGCCGACCUGAGAGGGUGAUCGGCCACACUGGAAAUGAGACACGGUCCAGACUCCUACGGGAGGCAGCAGUAGGGAAUCUUCCGCAAUGGGCGAAAGCCUGACGGAGCAACGCCGCGUGAGUGAUGAAGGUCUUCGGAUCGUAAAACUCUGUUAUUAGGGAAGAACAAAUGUGUAAGUAACUAUGCACGUCUUGACGGUACCUAAUCAGAAAGCCACGGCUAACUACGUG
rnacentral:rRNA from 1 species